GACGAACGCUGGCGGCGUGCCUAAUACAUGCAAGUCGAGCGAAUUGAUGGGAGCUUGCUCCCUGAUAUUAGCGGCGGACGGGUGAGUAACACGUGGGUAACCUGCCUGUAAGAUUGGGAUAACUCCGGGAAACCGGAGCUAAUACCGGAUAACAUUUUGAACCGCAUGGUUCAAAAUUGAAAGAUGGUUUCGGCUAUCACUUACAGAUGGACCCGCGGCGCAUUAGCUAGUUGGUGAGGUAACGGCUCACCAAGGCAACGAUGCGUAGCCGACCUGAGAGGGUGAUCGGCCACACUGGGACUGAGACACGGCCCAGACUCCUACGGGAGGCAGCAGUAGGGAAUCUUCCGCAAUGGACGAAAGUCUGACGGAGCAACGCCGCGUGAACGAUGAAGGCCUUCGGGUCGUAAAGUUCUGUUGUUAGGGAAGAACAAGUACCAGAGUAACUGCUGGUACCUUGACGGUACCUAACCAGAAAGCCACGGCUAACUACGUGCCAGCCGCCGCCGUAACAC
rnacentral:rRNA from 1 species